GGGACACGUGGUAUCCUGUCUGAAUAUGGGGGGACCAUCCUCCAAGGCUAAAUACUCCUGACUGACCGAUAGUGAACCAGUACCGUGAGGGAAAGGCGAAAAGAACCCCGGCGAGGGGAGUGAAAAAGAACCUGAAACCGUGUACGUACAAGCAGUGGGAGCACGCUUAGGCGUGUGACUGCGUACCUUUUGUAUAAUGGGUCAGCGACUUAUAUUCUGUAGCAAGGUUAACCGAAUAGGGGAGCCGAAGGGAAACCGAGUCUUAACUGGGCGUUAAGUUGCAGGGUAUAGACCCGAAACCCGGUGAUCUAGCCAUGGGCAGGUUGAAGGUUGGGUAACACUAACUGGAGGACCGAACCGACUAAUGUUGAAAAAUUAGCGGAUGACUUGUGGCUGGGGGUGAAAGGCCAAUCAAACCGGGAGAUAGCUGGUUCUCCCCGAAAGCUAUUUAGGUAGCGCCUCGUGAAUUCAUCUCCGGGGGUAGAGCACUGUUUCGGCAAGGGGGUCAUCCCGACUUACCAACCCGAUGCAAACUGCGAAUACCGGAGAAUGUUAUCACGGGAGACACACGGCGGGUGCUAACGUCCGUCGUGAAGAGGGAAACAACCCAGACCGCCAGCUAAGGUCCCAAAGUCAUGGUUAAGUGGGAAACGAUGUGGGAAGGCCCAGACAGCCAGGAUGUUGGCUUAGAAGCAGCCAUCAUUUAAAGAAAGCGUAAUAGCUCACUGGUCGAGUCGGCCUGCGCGGAAGAUGUAACGGGGCUAAACCAUGCACCGAAGCUGCGGCAGCGACG
rnacentral:rRNA from 1 species